UGUCAAAAGUUCUGAAAUUUAAUACUCGGAUACUCGGUCAUGAUACUCGAGUACUCGCGAGUAUUCGGAUGAAUCUUAUACGUCUAUUGAAAAGUUUCGAUUUUAGGCGGGCUGCAGUGUUUUUGUCAUUACCUUUCAUAUACAUAUUUUACGAAAGACAACCGUACUUAUAAAAGCACAGCUUUAUCCUCUGUUUGUUGUGUCAAUUUAACAAUGAAUUACCGACCGCUGUUUCUAUAAAUAAUUGUUUUUUGCACUAUCUUACGGAGCCCCGCUAGAGACAUGCUAAGAAAAAAAAAAUAUAUUGUGCGCACAACUUAAAUAAAUUGUGCGCACAAAAUAAUAUACUGUGCGCACAAAAUAAUAUUGUGUGCGAACAAAAUAAUAUAAUGUGCGUACAAAAUAAUAUAUUGUGCACACAAUUUAA
rnacentral:lncRNA from 1 species